rnacentral:rRNA from 1 species
CGGCUGAGUAAAUGCCUGGGUAAGUCGUGUCGCUCAACGGUACGAAUUCCGGGUAGACUGCUUAGCUUGAGACUGGGAGAAGCUAGAGGUACUCCUGGGGUAGAGGUGAAAUUCUGUAAUCCUGGGGGGACCACCAGUGGCGAAAGCGUCUAGCUAGAACGGGUCUGACGGUGAGGGACGAAACCCUGGGGCGCGAACCGGAUUAGAUACCCGGGUAGUCCAGGGCGCAAACGCUGCUUGCUUGAUGUUAGCUGGGCUCCGAGCUCGGCUAGUGUCGGAGAGAAGUUGUUAAGCAAGCUGCCUGGGAAGUACGAUCGCAAGAUUGAAACUUAAAGGAAUUGGCGGGGGAGCACAGCAACGGGAGGAGCGUGCGGUUUAAUUGGAUUCAACGCCGGAAAACUCACCGGAGGCGACGGUUACAUGAAGGCCAGGCUGAUGACCUUGCCUGAUUUUCCGAGAGGUGGUGCAUGGCCGCCGUCAGUUCGUACCGUAAGGCGUUCUGUUAAGUCAGAUAACGAACGAGACCCUCAUCCUUAAUUGCUACUGAUAACUCUGGUUGUCAGGCACAUUAAGGAGACCGCUGACGAUAAGUCAGAGGAAGGCGAGGGCAACGGUAGGUCAGUAUGCCCUGAAUCCUCCGGGCUACACGCGCGCUACAAAGGCCAGGACAAUGGGUUUCGACACCGAAAGGUGAAGGUAAUCCCGAAACCUGGUCAUAGUUCGGAUUGAGGGCUGAAACUCGCCCUCAUGAAGCUGGAUUCCGUAGUAAUCG